rnacentral:rRNA from 1 species
GACGAACGCUGGCGGCGUGCUUAACACAUGCAAGUCGAACGGAAAGGCCCUGCUUUUGUGGGGUGCUCGAGUGGCGAACGGGUGAGUAACACGUGAGUAACCUGCCCUUGACUUUGGGAUAACUUCAGGAAACUGGGGCUAAUACCGGAUAGGAGCUCCUGCUGCAUGGUGGGGGGUGGAAAGUUUCGGCUGUUGGGGAUGGACUCGCGGCUUAUCAGCUUGUUGGUGGGGUAGUGGCUUACCAAGGCUUUGACGGGUAGCCGGCCUGAGUGGGUGACCGGCCACAAUGGGACUGAGAUACGGACCAGACGGGUACGGGAGACAGCAGGGGGGAGUAUUGCACAAUGGGCGGGAGCCUGAGGCAGCAGCGCCGCGUGCGGGAUGACGGUCUGCGGGUUGUAAACCGCUUUCGCCUGUGACGAAGCGUGAGUGACGGUAAUGGGUAAAGAAGCACCGGCUAACUACGUG